rnacentral:sRNA from 1 species
CCUAGUAAGCACAAGUCAUCAGCUUGUGCUGAUUACGUCCCUGCCCUUUGUACACACCGCCCGUCGCUACUACCGAUUGAAUGGCUUAGUGAGACCCUCGGAUUGACUUUUAUCGGCUGUAAAAGGCCUUUGAUUGAUGAAAAGUUGGUCAAACUUGGUCAUUUAGAGGAAGUAAAAGUCGUAACAAGGUUUCCGUAGGUGAACCUGCGGAAGGAUCAUUAUUGUACCUAAGGUCACCAAUUUGAAGACCUCAGAUUGGUGAUCAUCAGUACAUACCUAUAUAAUAGGAGCAAAAGUAUUUAAAACCCCCCACACUUAAAUUUAAUGUAUAUUUUACUAUAAAAGUAAUUAAAGAUCACUUUCAACAACGGAUCUCUUGGUUCUCGCAUCGAUGAAGAACGUAGCAAAGUGCGAUAAGUAGUGUGAAUUGCAGAAUCCCGUGAAUCAUCGAAUUUUUGAACGCAAAUUGCACUUUCUGGUAUUCCGGAGAGUAUGCCUGUUUGAGGGUCAGUAAAAUAAAAAAUCGAUUUUGUUACUUUAUCGUAAUAUUUCGGAAUUGAGCUACCUUAAAUUUUUAGGUUUAAGAAGCUUAAAAUUGAUCAAUUUUUGGUAUGAUUUAAGCGUGCUAAGAUUACGUUUAAUGAGUAUCGAUGUUUAUUAGGUAUGUCCAUGAUCAUGGUUUUCGUACCCAUAAUAUUUUCAUGAAAUGACCUCAAAUCAGGUAGGAUUACCCGCUGAACUUAAGCAUAUCAAUAAGCGGAGGAAAAGAAAAUAACAAUGAUUCCCCUAGUAACGGCGAGCGAAGAGGGAAUGGCUCAAAUUUUAAAUCUGUUGGGUUUUACCUAACCGAGUUGUAAUUUGAAGAAACGUUUUCUGCGUGUUGAUUUAGCCUAAAUCCUUUGGGAUAAGGUAUCAAGGAGGGUGAGAAUCCCGUCUGGUUAGAUCAAGAUGCUUUACGAUACGUUUUCUAAGAGUCGAGUUGUUUGGGAAUGCAGCUCAAAAUGGGAGGUAAAUUUCUCCUAAGGCUAAAUAAAGGCGAGAGACCGAUAGCGAACAAGUACCGUGAGGGAAAGAUGAAAAGAACUUUGAAAAGAGAGUUAAACAGUACGUGAAAUUGUUGAAAGGGAAACGAUUGAAGUCAGUCGUACCGACGAGGAAUCAACCUUUUGAGAGUGGAUAUGUGGGAUUCAAAGUGCCUUUGUUUAUCGCACAUCUGCUUUUUUUGGGUGUACUUUUUCGUAUGGUAGGUUAACAUCGGUUUUGACCGUUAUAAAAUGACCGGAGGAAUGUAGCUUUGAUCUUGUAUUGAAGUGUUAUAGCCUUUGGUAGAUGUAACGGUUAGGAUCGAGGAUUGCAAUGGAUACCCUCAUGGGCUAUCCGUCUGGCCUCUGAUUUGUCACUUUGGUGCUGAAAGCGUGCUUAUGGUAUUAAAGUGUUCGGUCAAAAGGUUAGAACGGAAUAAAUUCAUUAAGGAUGUUGACGUAAUGGCUUUAAACGACCCGUCUUGAAACACGGACCAAGGAG